rnacentral:rRNA from 1 species
UACGGGGGGGGCAAGCGUUGUUCGGAAUUACUGGGCGUAAAGGGCUCGUAGGCGGCCAACUAAGUCGGAUGUGAAAUCCCCAGGCUUAACCUGGGAACUGCAUCCGAUACUGGAUGGCUUGAAUCCGGGAGAGGGAUGCAGAAUUCCAGGUGUAGCGGUGAAAUGCGCAGAUAUCAGGAGGAACACCGGUGGCGAAGGCGGUGGUCUGGGCCGGAACUGACGCUGAGGAGCGAAAGCGUGGGGAGCGAACAGG